UUCUUUUUUUGUCUUUUCAUCCUCAGAAUCUAGUUCAAUGCCCAGCAUAUAACAGACAUUUGAUAAAUUUAUCUUGAGUAAAUGAAUGAACUAAUUCUAAUUUUUUAGAUUUUUGAGACUGUGAUAAUAAAAUAUAAGUUUCUCGAGGGCAGGGUUGUUUUGGUUCUGGCUGUAUUCCCAGCUCCUAGGACAGUGCCUGACAGAUGAGCGCUUAAUAAAUGCAUGUUGGGUGGAUGGAUGGAUGGAUGGAUGAAUUCAGAGUCAAAGGUUCUACAAAAGAAUAAUAAUAACUCGCUCUACUCAACAGUUACUAAAGGUUCCAGGACUCGGAGUCUUCUCCGUAUUUCUGAAGUUUGUGAUUCACUGAACCUGAAAGGUUCUCGGAUGCCAGCACUGCAUUGCUUCUGCUUUUGAUCCAUUAGGUCUCUCUGUGAUUGGCCGAUGUUCCGCACUCCUGCUGGGGCACAGAGCCGGGGCCCCCGGGCAGGGGGCUUCGGGGGAUGUAAAGCCUCCCGGCCUCAGUGGCGGCCGUCCCAGCUUUUUGUGAACUGAUGAGCUGUGGCGAGGGAGCCUUGACAUCGUUCCGUGAAGCCCCAAAGACCAAGUCAUUUGCCCUCCUGUGUGGUGCUGGAUUGAGAAAGAACUUUGGAACCACCAAUUUCCUAAAACACACUGGAAUGCUGCUGGUGGUGGUGUUAGGCAACCCUGUGGAGAAUUCAUGCUCUUCCAAGGAAAGGAUUGUUUCAUUUUUAUCUUGAUGUUCCUAGGAUCCAGGACAGAGUCCUGAACACAUUAAAUACAUAAUAAAAGUU